AGCGAACGCUGGCGGCAGGCCUAACACAUGCAAGUCGAACGGACCCUUCGGGGUUAGUGGCGGACGGGUGAGUAACACGUGGGAACGUGCCUUUAGGUUCGGAAUAGCUCCUGGAAACGGGUGGUAAUGCCGAAUGUGCCCUUCGGGGAAAGGAUUUAUCGCCUUAGAGCGGCCCGCGUCUGAUUAGCUAGUUGGUGAGGUAACGGCUCACCAAGGCGACGAUCAGUAGCUGGUCUGAGAGGAUGACCAGCCACACUGGGACUGAGACACGGCCCAGACUCCUACGGGAGGCAGCAGUGGGGAAUCUUGCGCAAUGGGCGAAAGCCUGACGCAGCCAUGCCGCGUGAAUGAUGAAGGUCUUAGGAUUGUAAAAUUCUUUCACCGGGGACGAUAAUGACGGUACCCGGAGAAGAAGCCCCGGCUAACUUCGUG
rnacentral:rRNA from 1 species